rnacentral:rRNA from 1 species
UACGUAGGGUGCGAGCGUUGUCCGGAAUUACUGGGCGUAAAGGGCUCGUAGGUGGCCAACUAAGUCAGACGUGAAAUCCCUCAGCUUAACUGGGGAACUGCGUCUGAUACUGGAUGGCUUGAGUUUGGGAGAGGGAUGCGGAAUUCCAGGUGUAGCGGUGAAAUGCGUAGAUAUCUGGAGGAACACCGGUGGCGAAGGCGGCAUCCUGGACCAAUACUGACACUGAGGAGCGAAAGCCAGGGGAGCAAACGGG